rnacentral:rRNA from 1 species
UUGGCUCAGGAUGAACGCUGGCGGCGUGCUUAACACAUGCAAGUCGAACGGAGUGGUCCUCCCGAAGACCUGAUUGAGCUUGCUCUUGAUGGAAUUCAUUUGGAUCACUUAGUGGCGGACGGGUGAGUAACGCGUGGGUAACCUGCCCUAUACUGGGGGAUAGCAGUUGGAAACGACUGCUAAUACCGCAUAAGCGCACGGUAUCGCAUGAUACAGUGUGAAAAACUCCGGUGGUAUAAGAUGGACCCGCGUCUGAUUAGCUGGUUGGUGAGGUAACGGCCCACCAAGGCGACGAUCAGUAGCCGGCCUGAGAGGGUGAACGGCCACAUUGGGACUGAGACACGGCCCAAACUCCUACGGGAGGCAGCAGUGGGGAAUA